CCAGCUGGGAGAUAAGAUCAGGUUUGGAAACUGGAAACCCUGCUCAGAUGAAAGAAAACAAAUGACAUCAGAAUUCUGCAGAACAGCCAGAGACCAGUUCCUCAGAGACAGCAAAGCUAUCACCUGGUUAAACGGCCAUUCUCCAGCAGGGGGAAGGUGUGAACAAGAAAUUUACAUUCCAUCUCAGGGACGGCUUGAAGCUCAAAUCCACAGCAGACAGCCCAUCACCAUGACUCAGCUGAAAAAUGAGGCUGUUUCUAGCACAAAGGACUGAAUAAGAAGAAGAGGUGGGGAAAAUGCUUGAGAGUAUCUCUCCCCUUUUCUCUCUGCUCAUCACAACAACUCCUGAAGAACUGAAAUUGGGGAGGCAGGGUCCUGGCUGAAAGGAAACCCAGUUUGUCACAGCAUAUAGCGGGAGGAACACAUUCACUGUGAAUCUGUUUUAGCUUAAGUUAGACGUUAGUUUGCAUUUUAUCUUUUAUUUCUUUUGUAACCAAUCCUGACUUUUAUUCCUCAUUACUUGUAGUCACCUAAAAUCUUUUCUUUCUGUAGUUAAUGAAGUUGUUUUAUUGUUUUAUAUAACUAGCGUGUUUGGAUUAAAGUGUGUGAGAAACUCCUCUUGGGAUAACAAA